rnacentral:lncRNA from 1 species
UUUACUUUUUUUUUUGAAAACGAAAACUUACGUUUAAAGUUCAAUUGCAGUGACUGAAUGUUGGAUUUGAAUUUUGUAUGUGCUUAAAAAGUUUGUUAAGCAACAAAUUGACAAGUGAACAUGUGUUCUGUGCUUUAUUUAUUAUUAUGCGAAUGGAUUGCUACCGCUGCGAUACACUUAGUUUGACAUAAGAUGACCUAGCAAAUCGAGGUGGACAUUACAAUACAGGUGGUUGUGAUGCUGUAAUUUUUUAGUGGUGCAAAACAAAAGAAUGGUGCAAGAAAGCAGAACGUCGAUAAAGAAUGAAGGUUACAACGAUAAAGAUCAAUAAGAGAAUGAUAAUGAAGAAGAAAAUGCAUAACAUACGAUUAGAGUUGACUUGAUUGGUGCUAAAGAAAGAGACUUAGGUGUUAUAAGUGGAAUCGGUGAUUUUAAAUUUGUGUGUGGAGAACUAGAUGAUGUUAAAGUGUUAGGAUUUUGAAUGAUGCCUGAUCGGGAAUCGGUGGGCGGUCCUGGGACUGCGGGAAGUGGUAGUUUCUU